rnacentral:rRNA from 1 species
AGUGGCGUAAGGGAGCGUAACANAUGGGCAACGUACCCUGGACUCGGGGANAGCCGCGGGAAACUGCGGCUAAUACCCGAUAAAGUCGCCGGAGGGCAUCCUCUGGCGACCAAAGGUGGGGCCGCAAGGCCUACCGGUCUUUGAGCGACCCAUAUCCUAUCAGCUAGUUGGCGGGGUAACGGCCCACCAAGGCGACGACGGGUAGCGGGUGUGAGAGCAUGACCCGCCUCAUCGGAACUGAGACACUGUCCGGACACCUACGGGUGGCUGCAGUAACGAAUAUUGGGCAAUGGGCGCAAGCCUGACCCAGCAAUGCCGCGUGCGGGAGGAAGUCCUUCGGGAUGUAAACCGCUGUCAGGGUCCGACAACCGAUGCGAGUGAAUAAUUCGCAAAGUUGAGUAGACCCAGAGGAAGCCUCGGCUAACUCUGUGCCAGCAGCCGCGGUAAGACAGAGGAGGCAAGCGUUGUUCGGAAUCAUUGGGCUUAAAGCGCGUGUAGGCGGCUUCGCAAGUGUCUUGUGAAAUCCCGUAGCUCAACUACGGAACUGCUGGGCAAACUGCGGAGCUUGAGGUCGGUAGAGGUGCCUGGAACUCUUGGUGGAGCGGUGAAAUGUGUAGAUAUCAAGAGGAACGCCGGAGGCGAAAGCGGGGCACUGGGCCGAAUCUGACGCUGAGACGCGAAAGCGUGGGGAUCAAACAGGAUUAGAUACCCUGGUAGUCCU